rnacentral:lncRNA from 1 species
GGAAUCCACCGUCCCUCUGUGCCGCCUCUAAUCUCCGCCCGGGCGGGCGCAGAGCGAGUGCACGUCACUGCGUGUGCGUGAGCGUGAGCGCCCGUCAACGCGAGAAGGGAUCGGGUUUAGGCUCUGCGUCCUUUUAGGGAAGUCUCGCUGGGAAACAAAGCUCCGAGCUUUGAGUUUCGACUCGCUGGGCUCCCGGGAGCCCCCACCACUGUGCCCACCGAGCCUCAUGCCCCUGAGUGGCCACCGUGUGACCAGCCUGAGUGGUGCAGGUGCACGCACGAGCUCCUCCCACCCGCAGCCGCCCCCGAGGGAGCCCCCAGCAGUGCACAAAGGGCGUGGUUGCAGCCCGAGCCCCGGCACCUGCCCCCGGCUGCACAGAUGCUGAGCCUCCACCUGGGGACGUUCUGCAGUGCCACCCUGACCCCAGGGGAGACGGGCCCUGGUGUCCCCUCGGGGUCUCUUCUCUGUCCCCCUUCUCCACCCUGCAAGCAAACGGAAGGAAAGCUGCACAUCUCCAAGGACGGGCUCGGGGAAGUCUUGGGUGCAGGCGGGGACCCGUCCCCGGCGCCACUCCAGGUGAUGCAUUGGAGGUGGGGGUGGGAGACACGCUGCCCCCCCCCCAAACCCAGGCCCCAGAACGACAGCCAUGGAGAGGCCAGAGAAGGACACCCGUCCCAUCUGUGCCAGGUCCCUCCUCUUUCCCCUAAGGGGUCUGCUGCCGGGGGCCAAGAUAAACACCGGGAAUUGAGACACCGGAGAACUUUUCCAGGGUGUGGCCGCCGGCACCUGCCACCCUGCAGGGUCCACACCCACCUCCCCCGAAUGCAGCUGACCGGCCCAGCUGGGCUGAAGCAGCUCCCGGCUCCCGGCUGGGCUGAGGUCCCUCCGGUUUCUCAGAUCGCCAGCCUGGGGGUGCCGAGUUCCCUCCUCCGUUUCAGACCGCAGAGCUCCACGAUUCGCAGAGACACAGAGAAACGGAUGUCUUCCCUCUGCCGCAGCCCCCCAAACGGGAGUGUGAGAGAAGACACCAACAGACACUCUAAUAGGGUGCGUUAACCGUGCGGGGGGCCGGGAGGGCCUUUGGCUUCCUCGGGUAAGAAUGAUGCUUUCACGGUACCCACGAGGGAUAAAGUGCUGGCGCUGGAUUCUCAUAGGAGCGCCAACGCCACUGUAAACUGGGCGUGCCAGGGACAUAGGUUGCGUCUCCUUAUGAGAAUCUAACUAUGCCUGACGAUCCGAGGUGGAGCUGAGGCAGCGAAGCCAGCGCUGGGGAGCGGCUGCAGAUGCAGAUCAUCGCGAGCAGAGAGGCUGGACACACAGAGACUCUAACAAAUCAAUGGCUUGCAGGCUCAUGUCAGAACCCUAGCAGAGGCCGGGCGAGGUGGCUCACGUCCGUAAUCCUGGCACUCUGGGAGGCCGAGGUGGGCAGAUCACUCAAGGUCAGGAGUUCCAAACCAGCCUGAGCCAAGAGUGAGACCCUGUCUCUACCAAAAAUAGAAAGAAAUUAAUUGGCCAACUAAAAAUAUAUAGAAAAAAAUAUUAGCCGGGCAUGGUGGCGCAUGCCUGUAGUCCCAGCUCCUCGGGAGGCUGAGGCAAGAGGAUCGCUUGAGCCCAGGAGUUUGAGGUUGCGUGAGCCGGGCUGACGCCAUGGCACUCACUCUAGCCUGGGCAACGGAGUGAGACUCUGUCUCAAAAAAAAACCCUAUCAGUGAGUAGCAAGUGACUAUGUAAUCAUAAUAGAAAUAAAGUGAGCAGUAAAGGUCAUGCGCUUGAAUCUUCCCCAAAACAUCCCCCAACCCAGUCCGUGGAAGGAAGUAAGUGCUUUUAUCUCCAUGUUCAAAAAGGCACUGUGGGAGCCAGCAGUAGCCACGGCGCCCGGGCCCACCCCGGCCACCAGACUGUCCUCUCCGCACCAACUCCAGGACCUCGUCGGCCGCUAGUGUGAGCGUGGGUCUGUCCCUGCCUGCCGACACGGCCCGGCUCUGACCUGCCUCACCCCUGCCAGGGUCCAGCAAAGCACUCGAGGCGUGGAACAGGCUCCAAAACACCGGCUGCUCAAUCCCCUCUCCCCUCUUCCCUGUCCCGUCUCCCCUCUACCCUGUCCCCUCUCCUGCUCUCUCCUUCCUCUGCUCGUCCCUGUCUCUGCCUAUCCUUGCUCUGCCCCUGUCCU